UGCAGCAAGGAUGCCACGUGCUCAUGGUAUUGUGUCUAGCGAGGCAAGCCAGGUACCCCUCGCUGUACAUUUCGUACCUCUCGCAGCCGGGAAACAGAAUAUUCCACGGUUUUAGCCCAAGCUUCUUGAACGCCUUUGUCUUCAUGACCCGCAAGGCCCACUUGGAUGCUGCGAGACAAGUAAUUUAUUCGUGCGUUUCUCGUGGAAUCCUCGAAUGCCUCAAGGAACUGUAAUGGAACUGCGGAACAUGCGAUGUCACUAGUACCUUCAACGGCCACUUUGAUGUCUUGAGGAUGCGUGAGGUACUUAGGGUCAAUGAUGGGAGGGUCAUCGGGGUCUCUGCUUCUGAGCUUCAAGAAUCCUCGCGAUUUUGGUCUGUUCAAGAUAGGUACAAGCUGAAAGGCAUUCGUGCCACCAGCCCGCUUUGGAACUGGCACAAAAUCAUGAACCGCACUGCAGCGUUCCCGCAAAUCCACCUGGUCCCGACCGGUCUGCCCCGUCCAGCUCCAGUCGUCGACGAUGUCGGAUUGCUGAAGUCCACGCCGGAACAUCAGUGUUUCAAUUCAGGAAACUGAAUCUUCUUUAUCAACUAAAAUUCAAUAAAUUUUCUUGUAGUACGUGGACCGCAUAUUUUUCCGUAGA